GUCCCCUUCGUCUAGCCUGGUCAGGACACCAGGUUUUCGACCUGGCGACACGGGUUCAAAUCCCGUAGGGGAUA
rnacentral:tRNA from 1 species